GCACAAAGCUAAACAUAGAGACAUCAUAAAGUUAAAGCUCAAAUUUACAUAUGCAUUCUGUAAGUUAGACUUUUAACAACACCAAAAUCUUACAUGAAAAUCAUAUAAAUCAGCCGGGUGAUCCAGUAGUUUGGAAGAACCAUCACAGUUGAAGAUUAUCUUAAUAUCUGGGUAGGCUUUUUUGAUUUCUGAAUGCAACUUGUGUUGGGAAUAAAUCCCGCCACGUUAAUAAUAUUGCGGUAAUAAAGAACAAAAAUUAUGGCAACAUUAAUACAAGAAAAUAACAAGACCAAUAAGAGCGAUAGUGACACCAAGAUUUUUACGUGGAAACCCAAUGAGGGAAAAACCACGGGCCAAGAGGAGCUACUGAUAUCUCUGUAAUAAGAAAUUUCACACCGUAAUCACAAGUACAAUACUCAAAGUGACUACUGCACACUCAAAAGAAAUCUCUCUUUUGAUUUUUCCACCUCACUACAAUAUCGCUCACACUCUUUAUUUUUCCUCACGGACUAAACUCUCUGUGAUGCCUCACUUUCUUUUGUUUCUCUCUUUGUUGGUGUGAUUAAGUGAGCUGAAAUUGCCUCUAUUUAUAGGCAAGAAAUACCCUCUAUUGAUGUCAUUCAUGACAUCAAAUCCCAACAUAUGAAUACACUUUCUUGAAAGGCCAAAGGCCAAAUUGCCAAAGGCCAAUUUGCCAAAGGCCAAUUGACAAAGUAAUAGUUAGGUAUGCACAAAAUCUUGACCAGAUUUUUCUGCUUAUGAACAUGGUCUGGACACUACAAAUCUCCCCCUCCAGUCCUAUGCAUCUGAAGGAGGUAUCCUCGUUCUUCUCAGAAAGAGCUCAUUCCGACAAGUUCUUUGCACAAUUCGAACUUGUCUUUUGGAACCACCUUUAUCAGCAUAUCCACAGGAUUGUCACUGGUCUGAAUCUUCUUGACAUAGAAUGAUUCGUUCUCCACUUGUUCACGAAUCCAAUGGUACCUCACAUCAAUGUGUUUUGUUCUUGCAUGGUACAUGGAGUUCAUGCUCAAAUCUAUUGCACUUUGGCUGUCACAAUAGAGAACGUGCUCCAUUUGCUGCAAUUCAAGUUCUUGAAGAAAUCGUUUCAGCCAUACCAUCUCCUUGCCAGCUUCAGUAGCUGUAAUAUACUCUGCUUCAGUUUUAGAGACUGCGACACACUUCUGCAACUUCGACUGCCAUGAUAUAGCUCCUCCUGAAAAUGUAAACAAAAAUCCAGUAGAAGAUUUUUUGUUAUCAAGAUCACCUGCCAUAUCAGCAUCUGUAUAGCCCUUCAAGAUUGUACCAGCUCCACCAAAACACAAACAGUCUCCUGAGGUUCCUCUUAGGUACCUCAAUAUCCAUUUAACUGCUUCCCAGUGCUCCUUUCCUGGAUUUUCAAGAAACUUGCUAACAACACCAACUGCAUGAGCAAUAUCCGGUCUCGUACACACCAUAGUAUACAUCAAACUCCCUCCUGUGAAUAAUAAGGAACAUUAGCCAUAUUUCCUUUCUCUUCCUUUGUUGUAGGACACGUUUUCUUUCUUAACUUUAGAUGACCAGCAAGAGGUGUGCUAACAACUUUAGCACUCUUCAUGUUGAAUCAUUCGAGUACAUUUUCCAUGUACUUCUCCUGAGAUAGCCACAACUUUCUGCUUGUUCGUUCUCAAACAAUCUUCAUCUUCAGAAUUUGUUGUGCUGGGCCCAAGUCCUUCAUGUCAAAUGACUUGGACAAAUCUCUCUUCAACUUGGCAAUCAGCUCCUUGUCUUGUCCUACAAUCAACAUGUAAUCCACAUACAACAACAAAAUAAUAAAGUUGUUGUUCGAAAAUCUUUUGAAGUAUACACAUGGAUCAGAAUAAGUCCUUUUAUAGGUUUGACUUUGCAUGAAUGAGUCAAACUUCUUGUACCACUGCCUUGGUUCCUGCUUCAAUCCAUAAAGGCUUUUAUUCAUUUUACAGACCAUGUGUUUCUUUUCAUCUACUUCAAAUCCUUUUGGCUGGUCCAUAUAGUUUUGUUCUUCCAAAUCUCCAUGAAGAAAUGCAGUUUUUACAUCCAACUGCUCCACUUCAAGAUCUAGGCUAGCUGCUAAGCUCAAAAUGGUUCGAAUAGAAGUCAUUUUGACAACGGGUGAGAAGAUUUCAUCAAAAAUCAAUACCUUUUUUCUGUUCGAAGACUUUUACCACCAAUCGAGCUUUAUAUCUGACCAGCUUGCCAUUUCUAUCUUUCUUGAGUUUAAAGACCCACUUGCACUUAAGUGGUCUUUUACCCUUUGGAAGUUCAACCAGCUUGUACGUGCCAUUUUGCUGCAAAGAUUCCAUCUCUUCUUGUAUUGCUUCCAUCCACUGAUUCUUUUUUGGAUGGACCAACACCUCCUUUAGACUUUCUGGCUCCCCCUCAUCAUUGAUAAGGACAUAUUCUAAGGAAGGGUACUUGGAUGACUCUACCCUUUGCCUCUCGGACCUCCUCAAAGGUUGAGAUUGUUGUUCUUCUUGAGUAGGGUGCUCCACCUGCUCAGCAUCAGGUUGCUCCCCCUGAUCGGCAUAAUCAUUAGGUUGCUCCCCCUGCUCGGCAACCUCAUCAGCUGUACUUUCUGCACUUCUAGGAUGAACAGAGGUGGAAGGAAUGGUAAUAACAUUAGGGACUACACCAUUGACCUUCUCUAAUACGUCAUCAGCAAUUUUGACUUCACUUUCUCGAAAGACUACAUCUCUGCUUCUGAUGACCUUCUUCUUUACAGGAUCCCACAAUCUGUACUCAAAUUCUUUAUCUCCAUAUUCGAUGAAUACGCAAGGAACUGAUUUAUCAUCUAGUUUUGUUCUAUGCUCUUUCGGUACAUGUGCAAAAGCUCUGCAAUCGAACACCUUCAGAUGAGAGUAGGACACCUCUUUGUUGGUCCAAACUCUCUCUGGGAUGUCAAACUCCAAUGGAACUAAUGGACUACGAUUGAUCAGGUAGCAGGCCGCCUGAAUUGCUUCACCCCCGAAAUGACUUAGGCAGUUUAGCCAUUUUGAGCAUGCUUCUCACUUUCUCAACAAUGGUGCGAUUCAUUCGCUCAGCUACACCAUUGUGUUGUGGGGUUCCAGGAACUGUCUUCUCAUGUCUGAUCCCGUGACUUGAACAAUACUCUUUAAAUUCCCUUGAAGUGUACUCACCUCCAUUGUCAGUGCGGAGACGCUUUAGCUUUCGACCCAUCUCCCUUUCCACCAGAGCAUGAUACUUUUGGAAUACUUGAAAUACCUGAUCUUUGGUUUUCAAGAUAUAAACCCACAAUUUUCGUGAAGCAUCAUCAAUAAAAGUAACAAAAUAUUUGUUACUGCCCAUCGAUUCUAUCUCUAUUGGACCACAAACAUCAGAAUAUACCAGGUCAAGUAUAUUCAAUUUUCUUUCAGACUAUGUCUGAAAUGAAACUCUAUGCUGCUUACCGAAUAAGCAGUGGUCACAUGAUUUUGCCGUCGUACCUUUUGAAAAAGAGAUGAGUGAUUUCUUAGCGAGGAUUUCUAAUCCUUUCUCGCUCAUAUGACCCCUUCUUUUGUGCCACAAAUCUGCAGAGAUCUCUUCUCGAACUGCAUUCAAUUCACCUCAGCAAAUUUCUGCAUUUGUCCUACACAACAUGCCACAAGCAACUCCUUUUGCGAUCAGCAAUGCUCCCUUGGUGAGUUUCCAUUUUUGAUUUGCAAAAUAGUUCUCGUAUCCAUCUCGAUCCAAAGCAAUUUUGGAGAUCAAGUUCAACCGCAAAUUGGGUACAUGACGCACAUCUUUUAGAACCAAUGUGCAUCUAACAUUAGUCUUGAUACUAAUGUCUCUGAUCCCCACAAUCUUUGAAUAACUUGAGUUACCCAUUUUCACAGUGACAAAAUCACCUGCUUUAUACUUGCAGAAAAGAUCCCUUACCGGUGUAGCAUGGUAAGAUGCUGCUGUGUCAACCACCAAUUCCGUCUUUGUCUCUGCCAAGUGCAUGCACUCCUCUUCCUCAUUUAUGAAGAGAACAUCAUCAUCAUUAUUUUGCACUGUGGCAGUAGUGUUGUCGUCAUUCUUCUGGCCACUACUUUCACCUUUGUCCUUUUUCAGAUUUGGACAAUCUUUUUUGAAGUGACCUGGUUGAUUGCAGUUGUAGCACUUUCUGACUUUUGAUUUGGAUCGGAACUUGGACUUUCCACGACCUUCGGUUCUACCAUAACUAUCUGAACUCCUUUGAUUACUUCUGCCUCUACUUUCUGUGAUGAGAGUCUGCCCAUGAUUUUCAGGCUUAUUUCUCAUCUUCUCAUGGAGUAGAAGAGCUGAUGUGACAUCUUUCAGCUCAAUAAAGUCCUUGCCAUGUAAAAUGGUUGUUGCCAAAGUAUCAUAAGAAGAUGGCAACGAGUUCAAUCGUAUGAUGACUUUAUCUUCCUCCUCGAUCUUUACACCGAGGUUAGCCAACUGCGUGAUCAGUCCAUUAAGCACAUUUAAAUGUGACAAGAAAUUUGUACCUUCACCCAUAUGUAGGGCGUACAACUGCUUCUUUAGGUACAAUUUAUUUGUCAGCGUUUUGGACAUGUAGAGAUUUUCUAACUUUGUCCAAAUAUCACAUGCACUAUCUUCGUCGCUGAUGUUAUUGACCAAAUCAUCUGUUAAAUGCAACCUGAUUGCACUAGCAGCCUUUUCAUCCAUUUCUUCCCAAUCCUCCAGUUUCAUGGAUUCGGGCUUUUUGGACUUGCCACUUAGUGCCUUGUGUAAUCCUUGUUGGAUAAGCAGAUCCCUCAUCCUCCUCUGCCAUGUUGAGAAACCGCUAUCACCGUUGAAUUUUGCUACCUCGUACUUUACUCCGGACAUUUUAUUUUUACCGAGUAUAGUACCACCAACCGCAAAUAUUAUUUUUGUGAAAAAGCAGAACCUGCGCUUUGAUACCAGGUGUUGGGAAUAAAUCCCGCCACGUUAAUAAUUUGCGGUAAUAAAGAACAAAAAUUAUGGCAACAGUAAUACAAGAAAACAACAAGAACAAUAAGAGCGAUAGUGACACCAAAAUUUUUACGUGGAAACCCAAUGAGGGAAAAACCACGAGCCAAGAGGAGCUACUGAUAUCUCUGUAAUAAGGAAUUUCACACCUUAAUUACAAGUACAGUACUCAAAGUGACUAUUGCACACUCAAGAGAAAUCUCUCUUUUAAUUUUUCCACCUCACUACAAUAUCGUUCACAUUCUCUAUUUUUCCUCACAGACUAAACUCUCUGUGAUGCCCCACUCUUCUUUUGUUUCUCUCUUUGUUGGUGUGAUUAAGUGAGCUGAAAUUGCCUCUAUUUAUAGGCAAGAAAUACCCUCUAUUGAUGUCAUUCAUGACAUCAAAACCCAACAAAUGAAUAAACUUUCUUGAAAGGCCAAAGGCCAAUUGACAAAGUAAG
rnacentral:lncRNA from 1 species